rnacentral:rRNA from 1 species
AGGACGAACGCUGGCGGCGUGCUUAACACAUGCAAGUCGAGCGGAAAGGCCUUUCGGGGUACUCGAGCGGCGAACGGGUGAGUAACACGUGAGUAAUCUGCCCAUCGCUUCAGGAUAGCCAUCGGAAACGGUGAUUAAUACUGGAUAUGACAUUCCUUCGCAUGUUGGGGUGUGGUAAGUUUUUUCGGCGGUGGAUGUGCUCGCGGCCUAUCAGUCUUGUUGGUGGGGUAAUGGGCCUACCGAAGGCUUUGACGGGUAGCCGGCCUGGAGAGGGUCGACCGGCCACGACGUGGGACUGAGACACACGCCCAGUACCGUCCCGUAGGGA